UUCAUCCGCUUCCGGAGUUUGGAGGGUAAGAAUUUCCCGGAAUAAGGACAGGCCGCGUGCUGCUUAGCCAAGCCUGUCCCGACAAUUCAAUAGGCGGCUAAACCUGUAGAGGCCCCUAUUCUGCACGUCAGGACGCGGGUUCGAUUCCCGCCACCUCCAA
rnacentral:tmRNA from 1 species